rnacentral:rRNA from 1 species
GACGAACGCUGGCGGCGUGCUUAACACAUGCAAGUCGAACGGAAAGGCCCUGCUUUUGUGGGGUGCUCGAGUGGCGAACGGGUGAGUAACACGUGAGUAACCUGCCCUUGACUUUGGGAUAACUUCAGGAAACUGGGGCUAAUACCGGAUAGGAGCUCCUGCUGCAUGGUGGGGGUUGGAAAGUUUCGGCGGUUGGGGAUGGACUCGCGGCUUAUCAGCUUGUUGGUGGGGUAGUGGCUUACCAGGGCUUUGACGGGUAGCCGGCCUGGGAGGGUGACCGGCCACAUGGGACGUGAGAUACGGCCCAGACUCCUAGGGGAGGCAGCAGGGGGGAAUAUUGCACAAGGGGCGGAAGCCUGAUGCAGAACCGCCGCGGGCGGGAUGACGGCCUUCGGGGUGUAAACCGCUUUCCCCUGGGACGAGGGGGGGGAGGCGGGAAUGGGGAAAGAAGAACCGGAAAACUACGU